rnacentral:rRNA from 1 species
AGCAGCCGCGGUAAUUCCAGCUCCAAUAGCGUAUAUUAAAGUUGUUGCAGUUAAAAAGCUCGUAGUUGAAUUUCGGGAUUGACACAUCGGUCGUGCCCUAAGGGGUAUGAACUGGUGUAGUCAAUUUCUCACCUUCUGGAGAACCGCGCUGUCCUUAAUUGGGUGACGCGGGGAACCAGGACCUUUACUUUGAAAAAAUUAGAGUGUUUAAAGCAGGCAUUUUGCUUGAAUACAUUAGCAUGGAAUAAUAAAAUAGGACGGCAUGAUUCUAUUUUGUGGUUCUAGGAUCACCGUAAUGAUUAAUAGGGAUAGUUGGGGGCAUUAGUAUUCAAUUGUCAGAGGUGAAAUUCUUGGAUUUAUUGAAGACUAACUACUGCGAAAGCAUUUGCCAAGGAUGUUUUCAUUAAUCAAGAACGAAAGUUAGGGGAUCGAAGACGAUCAGAUACCGUCGUAGUCUUAACCAUAAACUAUGCCGACUAGGAAUCAGACGAUGUUAAUUUUUUAAU